rfam:Ictidomys tridecemlineatus contig001987, whole genome shotgun sequence.
GGGGUUAUGGCUCAGCGGUAGAGCGUUCACCUCACAUGUGCACGGCCCUGAGUUUGAUCCUCAGCACCA